rnacentral:rRNA from 1 species
UACGAAGGGGACUAGCGUUGUUCGGAAUUACUGGGCGUAAAGCGUGCGCAGGCGGUUCGUUAAGUCAGAUGUGAAAGCCCCGGGCUCAACCUGGGAACUGCAUUUGAAACUGGCGGGCUUGAGUGUGGCAGAGGGGGGUGGAAUUCCGCGUGUAGCAGUGAAAUGCGUAGAGAUGCGGAGGAACACCGAUGGCGAAGGCAGCCCCCUGGGCCAACACUGACGCUCAGGCACGAAAGCGUGGGGAGCAAACAGG